rnacentral:rRNA from 1 species
UACGGAGGGUGCAAGCGUUAUCCGGAUUCACUGGGUUUAAAGGGUGCGUAGGAGGGCAGGUAAGUCAGUGGUGAAAUCUCCGGGCUUAACUCGGAAACUGCCGUUGAUACUAUCUGUCUUGAAUAUUGUGGAGGUGAGCGGAAUAUGUCAUGUAGCGGUGAAAUGCUUAGAUAUGACAUAGAACACCAAUUGCGAAGGCAGCUCGCUACACAUAUAUUGACUCUGAGGCACGAAAGCGUGGGGGAUCAAACAGGG